GACAGAGGGGGCAAGCGUUGCUCGGAAUCACUGGGCGUAAAGGGCGCGUAGGCGGGAUGGCAAGUCGGUCGUGAAAUCCUUCGGCUCGACCGAAGAACGUCGGCCGAUACUGCCGUUCUUGAGGGAUGCAGAGGAGAUUGGAAUUCCCGGUGUAGCGGUGAAAUGUGUAGAGAUCGGGAGGAACACCGGUGGCGAAGGCGGGUCUCUGGGUAUCUCCUGACGCUGAGGCGCGAAAGCUAGGGGAGCAAACAGG
rnacentral:rRNA from 1 species